GGAGAUGAGGAUGAUUAUGGCAAACACCCAGUCUGGGUAGGGCUGCACAUCAGCUUGGGGGAACAAUUCCUAAAAAGAAAGACAGAAAGCAACAAGGGAGCAAACUCACAUCAGGAGUGAAGAGGUACAGCAGUCCAUCAGUCGCGCCAGGCAGAGUGAGGGCACGGAUCAGGAAAAUGGUCCUCUAACCUUGCCUAUGGACUCGAUGCCUUUAAUGAAACAGAUGUAGACCACACUCCAGGCGCUGGCCAGACAGACGACCAUCCACCACUGCAGGGAACCACUGGUCUCAAUGUCAGGUUACCCACCAACUCCACCCAGAAGUGGUGAGAUGGAGUUCCAGACACCGAUGCUACCCAUGCGGAGCCUCUGUCCUAUAGCCAGCUCCAGGUAGAGCAGAGGGAGGCCCUGAAACACCAGCGCUAUCAGAUCAUCAUAGGAGGGGAUCCGCUGAUCCAGUCCCGGGUUAGGAAGUACUAGUCUCAUGGCAGCUCCUCUGAAGCAGAGAUGUAACACUAUGGUUCCUCAGAGUCAAAGUGAGGGCUUAGGCAAAAAGUUCCCGGGUUUGAAUCCACUGGUCCAGGAUGUAUGCUCCCAUGCAGUUGUCAUAUGGUUGUGGGGAUCUGGAGCUGAUAGUGGACUAGAUUACAGUUGCAUGAGUGCACUGAGUUGCAGCAAUUAAUGAUGACGAUGAGAACAGAGUCCUAGAAAGAAAACUAUAAAGGGAGAUCAUGUGAAGAGAACUGUUGAACAAAAGGUUUGCAGAAUCUCCUCUGAUUGUACAGUGAAAGUGAUACCUGAACACAUGCCUCCAACCAUGUCUCUGGAUUUAAAACUGAGUUGAGAUUGCCUCUUUACUGUGUGUUGUCCAACAACAGUAAAGUUAAGUCCAAGUGAAAGUAUGGGUAUUGAGCCCUUUUGUGGUAUAUGACAUAAGAGCUAAUGUUAUUUCUUGUCAAUCCUCAGAUUUGAUUAUAGAUGGAUCCUACGCUGAAUCCCAAAAGCUACAUUACCACAGGUUCCCUUGUAUAUUAAUCAUCAUUUUAUAAACAUUCACAUGGCUAUUUUAUAGUGUGACUCAGAAAUAAUAUCACUUUCCCUGUAAUUACUAAAUAGUUACUCAGUAGUUUAAAAAAAGCUUGGACCUACAAGUUUGAACUUGUAUAGCUACACAUUAAGAUUUUUUCUUGACACCUUGAACAAAAUAAUUACACUGUCAUUUAUUGACUCUAUUAAAAAGUGUUCAGUGGUAUGAUGUAAUAUGCCAUAAUGUAACAAAAAUGCUGUGUGAGCAUCAUGUGACAGUGUAAUGCACUUUGAAUCAUAAGAGUGCUUCUUGGGUGAAACAUCCAAAAACAUGUAUUAGAGAUCAUAUUUUGAAAUAAAAACCACACUGGUGGUCCGUGGAUGA